AACGAACGCUGGCGGCAGGCCUAACACAUGCAAGUCGAACGAGAAGCCACCUUCGGGUGGUGGAAAGUGGCAGACGGGUGAGUAACGCGUGGGAACGUGCCUUUCGGUUCGGGAUAACCCAGGGAAACUUGGGCUAAUACCGGAUACGCCCUUCGGGGGAAAGAUUCAUUGCCGAACGAUCGGCCCGCGUCGGAUUAGAUAGUUGGUGGGGUAAGAGCCUAGCAAGGCGGCGAUCCGUCGCUGGUCUGAGAGGAUGACCAGCCACACUGGGACUGAGUCACGGCCCAGAGUCCUACGGGAGGCAGCAGUGGGGAAUAUUGGACAAUGGGCGGAAGCCUGAUCCAGCCAUGCCGCGUGGGUGAAGAAGGCCUUAGGGUUGUAAAUCCCUUUCAGCGGGGACGAUAAAGACGGUACCCGCAGAAGAAGUCCCGGCUAACUCCGUGCCAGCCGCCGCCGUAACAC
rnacentral:rRNA from 1 species